GACGAACGCUGGCGGCGUGCCUAAUACAUGCAAGUCGAGCGAUGAUUAAAGAUAGCUUGCUAUUUUUAUGAAGAGCGGCGAACGGGUGAGUAACGCGUGGGAAAUCUGCCGAGUAGCGGGGGACAACGUUUGGAAACGAACGCUAAUACCGCAUAACAAUGAGAAUCGCAUGAUUCUUAUUUAAAAGAAGCAAUUGCUUCACUACUUGAUGAUCCCGCGUUGUAUUAGCUAGUUGGUAGUGUAAAGGACUACCAAGGCGAUGAUACAUAGCCGACCUGAGAGGGUGAUCGGCCACGCUGGGACGGAGACACGGCCCAGACUCCUACGGGAGGCAGCAGUAGGGAAUCUUCGGCAAUGGGGGCAACCCUGACCGAGCAACGCCGCGUGAGUGAAGAAGGUUUUCGGAUCGUAAAACUCUGUUGUUAGAGAAGAACGUUAAGUAGAGUGGAAAAUUACUUAAGUGACGGUAUCUAACCAGAAAGGGACGGCUAACUACGUGCCAGCAGCCGCGGUAA
rnacentral:rRNA from 1 species